UACGUAGGGUGCGAGCGUUGUCCGGAAUUACUGGGCGUAAAGAGCUCGUAGGUGGUUUGUCGCGUUGUUCGUGAAAACUCACAGCUUAACUGUGGGCGUGCGGGCGAUACGGGCAGACUGGAGUACUGCAGGGGAGACUGGAAUUCCUGGUGUAGCGGUGGAAUGCGCAGAUAUCAGGAGGAACACCGGUGGCGAAGGCGGGUCUCUGGGCAGUAACUGACGCUCAGGCGCGACAGCGUGGGGAUCAAACAGG
rnacentral:rRNA from 1 species